rnacentral:rRNA from 1 species
UACGGGGGGAGCAAGCGUUGUUCGGAUUUACUGGGCGUAAAGGGCGCGUAGGCGGCCAGCACAAGUCAGUUGUGAAAUCUCCGAGCUUAACUCGGAACGGUCAACUGAUACUGUGCGGCUAGAGUGCAGAAGGGGCAACUGGAAUUCUCGGUGUAGCGGUGAAAUGCGUAGAUAUCGGGAGGAACACCAGUGGCGAAGGCGGCGAUCUGGGUAGAUACUGACGCUGAGGUGCGAAAGCGUGGGGAGCAAACAGG